CCUACGGGUGGCUGCAGUGGGGGAUAUUGGACAAUGGGGGGAACCCUGAUCCAGCGACGCCGCGUGAGUGAAGAAGGAUCUCGGGAUGUAAAGCUCUAUCAGCAGGGAAGAAGAAAUGACGGUACCUGAGUAAGAAGCCCCGGCUAACGACGGGCCAGCAGCCGCGGUAAUACGGAGGGGGCAAGCGUUAUCCGGAAUUACUGGGUGUAAAGGGAGCGUAGACGGUGAUGUAAGUCUGGAGUGAAAGGCGGGGGCCCAACCCCCGGACUGCUCUGGAAACUAGGUGACUGGAGUGCAGGAGAGGUGCGCGGAAUUCCUAGUGUAGCGGUGCAAUGCGUCGAUAUUAGGAGGAACACCAGUGGCGAAGGCGGCUCACUGGACUGUAACUGACGUUGAGGCUCGAACGCGUGGGGAGCAAACAGGAUUAGAUACCCUGGUAGUC
rnacentral:rRNA from 1 species